rnacentral:lncRNA from 1 species
GCUCGAUAUUAAAUCGAGAAAGUAUGAUUUUUAUAGUUUGAAAAAAUGGUUUUUUGAACUAAAUUCAAAUGCAAUAACUAUGCAUAAUUAACAAAUGAAAUUAUAAUAAACAUAAAAAAGAUAUUAACAAAAUACUAAAAGAAUAAAAAAAUGCUAAAGGAAGAUAAAAUCAAAUAAAAAGCAAAAAGUACCACACAUGAGUAUUGAACCCUCCCCACCUAAUAUUAUGCAACUGCCCUCUCUCCACUAGGCCACUCAACAAUAUCUGCUAUUAAGAUACUACACAAAAUAUAUGAACUGGAAUAAAAGUUUAAAAUAAAACAAAACAAAGAUUUCGUGGUUUUUGUAUUAUCUCUGUUAAAAACAAAUUAAGUUAAAUAAUAAAAAGAAUAAAUAAUAAAAAAAGAAAUUAAGAACAUAUAAACAUUUUCUGAUUUUUGUAUUAAAAACAAAAUAAAUUAAAUAGUAAAAAGAAUUAAUUAAAAAUUAAAAAAAANN